AAGAAACCCAUGUCGUCAAAAUAAACGUUCAUUUCUGGUCGCAAGCUGGGAAUCAAUUUGGCUAUAACCAAAACUGACUCUUUUUUUGAAAGGUGAUUGAAAUUUUGUUUACUUGGGUAGAUUGAGUUUUAUGCUGGACAGGAGGCAGAAUCGCUUGUGCUUGACGUGACACAGCAGGAGCCUUUUGCUUGGUCCUCUGUGAUUUUGCCGUCUGCAUUUUGUUGUGGGCCAGUUGGUAUAUGUCCAUAAGAGAAUCUAAUAGAUAAAUGUGACCUUCAAUUGGGAAUUUUGUUAAAGCAGGAAGCAUCUUGAAGGUACUUCUCUUUUUAUCUUGCUUCUGAAAGUGUAGGGUUACACAGUUGUUUUUGUGCCAUAUUUUAUACACAAAUUGUUGUUUAUGCUUGUGAAGUUUUCAUCGAAUGUGUUAUGCAUGUGUUGUGAUAUAAUUGUCUCUAAAGUAAUUUGGCUUAUGGGAUUUUAGGUUUCUUUUCCCAGCUUUGGGAUUGGGAGGAUUGCUAUUUGGGUAUGACAUUGAUGCCACUUCUGGUGCUACCAUAUCAUUGCAGGUGCUUCCAUGUUUUAACGCUUUUGUCUUAUAUUUUUCCACACAAAUUUGCGUUUCAGAACAUAAUUUUAGUUUACCAUCAAUGCUGGAAUUUUUUCUUCGUUAAAUCUAAUGUGUUCCUUUAUCUACCAAUUUAUCAGUCACUUGAGCUCAGUGGGACAACAUAGUUCAGCCUUUCAUAAUGGUAACUGUUUAACUUAUUGUCUGUUUAUGUGUAAUGCAUGAGCUUUUUGUUACAUUACAUUGCCGUGAAAGUAGGUUACUGGUUCUCUUUAUGGAGCUGUUCUUGGUUCCCUCCUUGUGUGCCCAAUUGCAGAUUUUCUUGGUACAUCAAUUUGCUAUUAGGUUUAUUUUACAGUUCCAGAGCUUCUCACUGAAUGUUCUUACCCAAUUGUUUGGAUUCAUAGGAGGCAAGAACUUAUUAUAGCAGCCAUGCUAUAUGUAUUAGGUGCUCUGGUUCCUAAAAAUCAAAGAAUCAAGGGUUUGGUUCUGUUUUCGGUUCUUAGGUGGAGCAAGACUUGGAAUUGGAUCCGAACACCCCUGAUGCACUAAUGUUGAGACCUUUGCCUGAUAAUUAAUUUUGACAUUUAAAUUGUUGCGUCAAAUACUAUUAUCACCUGUAAAAUUGUUUAUAUAAGGGUUAAUUACAGAUGACCCCACUGAGGUUUGUCUUAAAAUACACUGAUCCUCAUUGUUUCAAAAUUAGCAAUUUUAUUCCUAUACAAAUAUCAGUGAAAAGUGCAAGAUUUUGAGGGACUGUAGUGUUUUAUAAUACUCUCUCUAUCCCAAAAGGUUGUUUCCUUCAUUUUCUCGCACAGUUUAAGAAAACAUAAUUAAUACUAUGUCAACUCAUAAUUUUUCAUUUCAUUCUUCCUUUUACACCCCCAUUAUUUCCUAGAAAAUUGCUUUCUUACUCUUUCCUUAGAGUUGUUUGCCUUCAAAAUAUACAAAGUUACGAUUAAUAUUACAUUUUACUAUGUAUUUCAUGAGGGGUAAAAUAGAAAACCCAUUCUAUUUUUUUUCCCUUUUUGAAAAAGGGCAUACAUUUUGGGACAUCAUAAAAAGAAAUAGUGGACUGACUACCUUUGUGGAAGGAGGCAGUAUAACAAUUUAGGGACUAAAGUUCAAUUAAAAUUUAAAAUUUGAGACUAUUGUAGUUUAAUUUAUAAUGCUAGUAACUAAAGUCUAAUUAAAUUUUGAUAAUUUUAUAAUCAAGGAUUAAAGUGUGAAGUUAUUAACCAACCAAAAGGAUCAGAAAUUUCAAUUUUGAAGCAAGAAGAAUCAAAAUUUAUUUUAAGGCAAACCUCAGGACUGUUCUAUAGGCACCCACCAAACCAGAAUUAACUUCCAUAAUAACACGCUGCUAAGUAGACUAUCAUGUCUAUCGUAGAAACUUACGUAAUCGGAACUAUGUGCCCAUUUUGUGACAUGUCAGUGAUUCAACGACCUCCAGUGAGGAUUGAAUCGAUGCUACAGAAGGAACGCCCAGAUCCCUUCCCAACAGAGGAAGGAAAUGACAUUACAAAAUCAGAGGCUUCAUUACAUGUUAUGAAUGUACCAAUAGCAGCACUUUCUAGUGUUACGUCUGGCAAAGUAGCAUCACCAUUCAAAUACUGCAUCACUUGCCUCAUGCUCGGUCUCACUGUUGGCACAGAGUGUGAACAGAUAAGUCCUAGUUUCAAAACCAGCUCCAUUUCCUCUAUCACAUAAUUUCCUUCCAAUCUAGGAUCACUGGCAUCAAGAAUAGCUCCUCUUUUCCAGCACUCAAUGACCCAAUCUACCAAAAUUACCUCUUCAGGAAGUCCUAGAAGCUCUAUUGGCCUUCUACCACAAGCAACCUCAAGUAAAAAGGCACCAAAGGCAUACACAUCAGUCUUUGUUGUGGCCUUUCCAGUUCGAGUGUGUUCAGGUGCAAGAUAACCAAGAGUACCAACAACAUGGGUAGUUUGAGGAUCUGUUCCAUGGUCAUAUAAUCUAGCAAGGCCAAAAUCUCCCAAUCUACCAUUUAAUUCACCAUCUAGCAAGACAUUGCUAGCCUUGACAUCUCUGUGAAUCACAACUUGUUCCCAUUCUUCAUGCAGAUAAAACAGCCCUGAAGCUACACCUUUUAUGACUCUAAAUCUUUGGCUCCAAUUCAGGGUGACCCUUGGUUGGUCAUACAGGUACUUGUCCAGACUUCCAUUGAGCAUGUAAUCAUAGACCAAAAGUAGUUCUCCUUUGCGCCGGCAAUAGCCCAAGAGCGUUACUAGGUUCCGGUGACGAAGCCGACCAAUACUAACAAUUUCUGCUACAAAAACCUUCAUUCCUUGUCUUGUUUCAUGGGACACCUUUUUUACUGCAAUCUCAAUCUUGGAGGAUGGCAACACUCCUCUAUAAACCCUACCAAAUCCACCACUACCCAAUAGUUCCUUGUCCCUAAAUCCUUUAGUGGCGAUGUACAAAUCCUUGUAUUUGAAUCUGUGAGGCCCAUAGUCACGCUCCCAAUCUUCAAGCACUUCUGCAAACUUCCUUUUCCUUCUUAUGAAAUAAACUAAACCUGAGAUUACUAUGAAAACCACACUUACAGAAAUUGUGGGCACCCCAAUGGUUAGAAAUUUUGAUCUCUCCUUUGGUCCAAUUCGCGGAAGCUUAGGAAGUCGAGCAAGAUCUAGUGCUUGAGCUUGGCCAUUCAUCUUAUAGCUCCAACCCAAUACAUAAUUAGAUGUUAGGACAGAGGCUGUUGAUGAUGAGAAACCAACGUACAUGGCAUCUCGCAGGAAUGGUGACAGAUCAAGAACUACAGACAAAAGUGGAAUACUGGGUUUACCAAUAUUAAUCGGAGCUAAAGUGACAUUAAGUUGCUUUGUUGCACCAUCAUAUUCCACCCAAAUUUGCAUUGGUUGGCUGCUAGCAAGGGUCAAGUUUGUGAGCCUACCGCUGGAAUUAGUAUAAUAUCCUGCUGGGGCAGAUUCAUAAGACCUUAACCCAUUAAUAUCUAUUCCAACAUGAUUAUCAUUGAUAUCAUCGAAUUCGCUGCUAUAGAUGGUGUCAAGCUCCACUGCAAAAACAUGGUUGGUAUCAUUACCAUUGUUGGUCUUGUUAAACAGCCCAAGGUACUGGCUGGGAAGAGAUCCAGGGAGGCCUUUUGUUGGUGCAAUCACAAAGGCAAUCCCAUGACCACUAAUACUUGCAAUUUCAGGUACAAUAGCAAAGACAAAGGUAGUAGAAAAGGUGAAAACAGAGCCAUUUGUGUUCUUGAAAGUUAUUGGGUUUGGAAAAAAGGCGUGACCCUUUUCCUGCUUUGUGUCAUUGGUGAGCCUCAGAAGGCCACUAGAGGUGAUCUCAGCUAUACCAUCAAGGCUUAGAUUGGCGGAUCGAAAGCCAUUGUAGCGGAAACUGAGAUCUUGGGAAGCUGCUAAGCAAACUAAGAGGCACACCAAAAGGACUGCUUUGAAUAACAUGGCUUGCGCUUGCCUAGACCAAUUUUUCUUCAUCUCGACUUUUUUUUAACUUUCUUUGGCUGCUUGCAUCUGAGAUCACGCAGCCCCAUCCAUCCCUGUCCCACAUGAAACAAUUUUUGAGAUCCUGAGCAUGAAAUUCUGGAAAGGAAGCAAGCAUCCAAAGAGGGUAAAGUAGUCAAAUUUUGGGAGCUAAUCAUGUUAGGCAGGAGGACACUGGAUUAAUUUAAUGACGCCUUGCUCCUCGGUUCAGCUAUUCUGUCAA
rnacentral:misc_RNA from 1 species